ensembl:lncRNA
CGAGGCCGACCCCCUGCCCGCUAUGGGGAGUGGACAGCCCGAGGACGUUCUAGGGACUAGAACGGAUUGGCGGGGGAGGAUGUCACAAGGUGACGAUCUUUAGGGGCGGAACCAAAAUUCGGGAAGUUUGGUUCCGCCCGGAAGUGUUUCCGCCCGGACCGGAAAAAAACAGAACACCGGAACUUCCGGUAGCGCCGUAAGAAGGAAAAAUCAGGGAAUUCGAUGCACCUGUGCCUAGUUAGGGACAGCGGUUGGUGAUUGGAGGAUACGCUGGACAAGGCAGUACUUAAGGCCAAGUUAUUUCACAGUCUGGGAGCUCUUUCUGGCUGGAAUUGUAUGAUUGUGAAGACAUCGCGAACCUUAAAGGUUGAGAAGUGAACGGAUUAUACGGCGAACUGAGACGACGUGAAAAAAAGGGGAUUGGAAGCGGCAUUGAUGUGAGUACUAAGAGCCAGUCGAAAGUGCCCUGUAUAUUGACCUGGCGUUGUGUAGAUCUCUCCAGGAGGAGGAGGGCGGCCCUACCCCUAAUAUAGCGUGGUGGGAGAGCCGAAGGAAUACUUAUUGAAGUAGUCACAACGACGACAUCACUAGCUAGGCCGCAUAUUCCAUCGCCAGAUCCGAACCAAGCGAAGUGAAGGAAGACGGGUGUCCUUUUCGUACACUGAGUGUGGUGGGUGAGUCUUCGUGCUGUGAAAACCUAUAAUUUUGACGUGGUGUUGUAUAUUGCUGUGGGCUGCUGUGUAUUGCCGUGUGUCCUGUCAGAUAAACCCCCGCCUUCACGCACUUCGUCGCGGGAGGACAAGGAGACUGCUGGUCCUAGCCUAGUUCAGUACAGUAUAUGUUGUGAGCGUGCUUCAGAUCUCCGGAGAUAGCACGGUACGCUGUGUCCAGCCCAGAGGUGAAAGCCAUCCAAAGCAGAGUAACUGUGCUUUGUGUCCAAGUUGAUACCUGUGGAGAGGAAAGGAAAGAGAGAGUGAGUAACACAAGGAGAACCAGAGGGAACCUGUACUUACAGUACGCUGUGUUCAGCCCAGAGUUGAUACCUGUGGAGAGAAAAGGAGAGAGAGUGGGUAACACGAGGAGAGACCGAGGAAAACUGUACUUACGCCGCUACCUGUGGAGAAAGAGAAAGCGAGUGAGCACCCAAGGAACGAACUGUGUGAACCAGUACUUACCGUGAGCUGUAUUCAGCGAAGAGGAGGAAGAAGGAGGGCGCUACGGAUACCUAAGACUCAGGCCGGGGCCCGAGUCCCACGCCCCGGAUCCCCGUGGCCCCCUUUCUCCCUGACCUCUUCCCGGCCAUAGCCCAUCUGGAGGGCCGAGUCAGAGUUUAGUUUUAAUUGCCCUUUCCCUAUUCCCCAAGCUAUUUUUAAAUAUUUAAAUAAAGAUUGUUUUAUCAUUUAUUUGUUCUCGUGUUGUUUGGCCAUUGGGUUGGCUUUGGGGACCUCCUCGAGGUGGAAGU